GCACCCGUAGCUCAGCUGGAUAGAGCGGCGGUUUCCUAAACCGCAGGUCGCGUGUUCGAACCACGCCGGGUGUA
rnacentral:tRNA from 1 species